UACGGAGGGAGCUAGCGUUGUUCGGAAUUACUGGGCGUAAAGCGUGCGCAGGCGGUUUUGUAAGUCUGUCGUGAAAGCCCCGGGCUCAACCUGGGAACUGCAUUGGAAACUGGCGAGCUUGAGUGCGGCAGAGGGGGGUGGAAUUCCCGGUGUAGAGGUGAAAUUCGUAGAUAUCGGGAGGAACACCGGUGGCGAAGGCGGCAUCCUGGACCGGUAUUGACGCUGAGGCGCGAAAGCUAGGGGAGCAAACGGG
rnacentral:rRNA from 1 species